rnacentral:rRNA from 1 species
UUGUGGGGUGACGGCGUGCCUAUCGAAAAAUGAGUCUGCGAGUCAGUGGCGGGUGGCGAGCAUAAGCCGUGUGGCGUAUGCGUAGCGAAAGCGAGUCUUAAAAGGCGUUUUCAGUCGCUUGUCCUGGACCCGAAGCGGGAUGAUCUAGCCCUGGGCAGGUUGAAGCGCGGGUAAGACCGCGUGGAGGACCGAACCCACCUGGGUUGAAAACCGGGGGGAUGACCUGGGGCUAGGGGUGAAAGGCCAAUCAAAUUCCGUGAUAGCUGGUUCUCUCCGAAAUGCAUUUAGGUGCAGCGUCGGUCGAUUGCGUCGCGGGGGUAGAGCUACCGGAUGCUUGCGGGCCCUUGUUGGGUACCAACAGCAGCCGAACUCCGAAUACCGUUGACGUGUAUUCCGGCAGUGAGUCGGCGGGGGAUAAGCUCCGUCGUCGAGAGGGAGACAGCCCAGACCGUCGUCUAAGGUCCCGAAGCGUGUGCUAAGUGGGAAAGGAUGUGGAGUCGCAUAGACAGCCAGGAGGUUGGCUCAGAAGCAGCCAUCCUUGAAAGAGUGCGUAACAGCUCACUGGUCUAGUGGUUCCGCGCCGACAAUGUAGCGGGGCUCAAGCACACCACCGAAGACGCGGCAGCAAUCUUCAUGGUUGCUGGGUAGGAGAGCGUCCUGCGAGGGGCGAAGCGGCCGGGUAACCGUGCCGUGGACUUCGUGGGAGUGAGAAUGCAGACAUGAGUAGCGAGAGACGGGUGAGGAUCCCGUCCGCUGGAUGACCAAGGGUUCCGGGGCCACGUUCGUCGUCCCCGGGUGAGUCGGGUCCUAAGGCGAGGCCGACAGGCGUAGUCGAAUGGAUGAACGGGUGGAUAUUCCCGUACCGACCAUGGACCGGCAAAACCGAGACGGUGAGUACUAACCUCCGCCUCGUGGUGGUUCCUUCCUUCGGGUUGGUUCCGCCGCGUGGUGUUGGGAGCGUAGCCGUAGUAGGUCAGCGCAGGGGUGACACGGAAUGGGAGCCGGCCGCGGAGGUGGUUUUCCGUGGUCAAGCACGCAGCCAGUCAUGUAGGCAAAUCCGCAUGGCGCGCAUGGCGAGGUGUGAUGAUGGGAGCCUUUUGGGCUCGAUAUCCGGUUGUCCAGGCCGUCGAGAAAAGCCUCGGCGUGAGGGCCAUGGCCGCCCGUACCCCAAACCGACACUGGUGGUCAGGUAGAGAAUACCAAGGCGAUCGAGCGAAUCCUGGUCAAGGAACUCGGCAAAUCACUCCCGUGCCUUCGGUAUAAGGGAGACCCGCUGGGGUGAACCGGCUAGCCCGGGGAGCUUUGGUGGGUGGCACAGACCAGGGGGUAGCGACUGUUUACCAAAAACACAGGUGCAUGCGAAGGCGCAAGCCGCUGUAUAUGCACUGACGCCUGCCCGGUGCCGGAAGGUUAAGAGGAUCCGUCAGCCUUCGGGUGAAGCGGUGAAUUCAAGCCCCGGUAAACGGCGGUGGUAACUAUAACCAUCCUAAGGUAGCGAAAUUCCUUGUCGGGUAAGUUCCGACCUGCACGAAUGGCGUAACGACUUCCCCACUGUCUCGACCAGGAGCUCGGCGAAAUUGCAGUACGAGUAAAGAUGCUCGUUAAGCGCAGAAGGACGAAAAGACCCCGGGACCUUUACUAUACCUUGGUAUUGGCGUUAGGCGCGGAUUGUGUAGCAUAGGCGGGAGGCUUCGAAGCGGGUGCGCCAGCAUUCGUGGAGCCGCAAGGUGAAAUACCGCUCUGUUCUCGUUUGACGUCUCACCUCGAACAGUCAUCCUGUUCAGGGACAGUGCCUGGCGGGUAGUUUAACUGGGGCGGUUGCCUCCCAAAGAGUAACGGAGGCGCUCAAAGGUCCGCUCAGCCCGGUUGGCAAUCGGGUGUCGAGUGUAAUCGCACAAGCGGGCUUGACUGCGAGGACGACGGUCCGAGCAGGGACGAAAGUCGGAGAUAGUGAUCCGGUGCCGGCGCACGGGCGCGGCAUCGCUCAACGGAUAAAAGGUACCCCGGGGAUAACAGGCUGAUCAUUCCCAAGAGUCCAUAUCGACGGGAUGGUUUGGCACCUCGAUGUCGGCUCGUCGCAUCCUGGGGCUGGAGCAGGUCCCAAGGGUUCGGCUGUUCGCCGAUUAAAGCGGCACGCGAGCUGGGUUCAGAACGUCGUGAGACAGUUUGGUCUCUAUCCUCUGCGCUCGUUGGAAUCCUGAGGAGGCCUGCCCAUAGUACGAGAGGACCUGGGUGGACGAACCUCUGGUAUGCCGGUUGUCGCGCCAGCGGCACGGCCGGUUGGCUACGUUCGGGAGGGAUAACCGCUGAAAGCAUCUAAGCGGGAAGCCUGCUCCAAGAUUAGGAUUCC